GGGUGAGUAACACGUGGGUAACCUGCCUGUAAGACUGGGAUAACUCCGGGAAACCGGGGCUAAUACCGGAUGCUUGAUUGAACCGCAUGGUUCAAUUAUAAAAGGUGGCUUUUAGCUACCACUUACAGAUGGACCCGCGGCGCAUUAGCUAGUUGGUGAGGUAACGGCUCACCAAGGCAACGAUGCGUAGCCAACCUGAGAGGGUGAUCGGCCACACUGGGACUGAGACACGGCCCAAACUCCUACGGGAGGCAGCAGUAGGGAAUCUUCCGCAAUGGACGAAAGUCUGACGGAGCAACGCCGCGUGAGUGAUGAAGGUUUUCGGAUCGUAAAACUCUGUUGUUAGGGAAGAACAAGUACCGUUCGAAUAGGGCGGUACCUUGACGGUACCUAACCAGAAAGCCACGGCUAACUACGUGCCAGCAGCCGCGGUAAUACGUAGGUGGCAAGCGUUGUCCGGAAUUAUUGGGCGUAAAGCGCGCGCAGGCGGUUUCUUAAGUCUGAUGUGAAAGCCCCCGGCUCAACCGGGGAGGGUCAUUGGAAACUGGGGAACUUGAGUGCAGAAGAGGAGAGUGGAAUUCCACGUGUAGCGGUGAAAUGCGUAGAGAUGUGGAGGAACACCAGUGGCGAAGGCGACUCUCUGGUCUGUAACUGACGCUGAGGCGCGAAAGCGUGGGGAGCGAACAGGAUUAGAUACCCUGGUAGUCCACGCCGUAAACGAUGAGUGCUAAGUGUUAGAGGGUUUCCGCCCUUUAGUGCUGCAGCAAACGCAUUAAGCACUCCGCCUGGGGAGUACGGUCGCAAGACUGAAACUCAAAGGAAUUGACGGGGGCCCGCACAAGCGGUGGAGCAUGUGGUUUAAUUCGAAGCAACGCGAAGAACCUUACCAGGUCUUGACAUCCUCUGACAACCCUAGAGAUAGGGCUUCCCCUUCGGGGGCAGAGUGACAGGUGGUGCAUGGUUGUCGUCAGCUCGUGUCGUGAGAUGUUGGGUUAAGUCCCGCAACGAGCGCAACCCUUGAUCUUAGUUGCCAGCAUUCAGUUGGGCACUCUAAGGUGACUGCCGGUGACAAACCGGAGGAAGGUGGGGAUGACGUCAAAUCAUCAUGCCCCUUAUGACCUGGGCUACACACGUGCUACAAUGGGCAGAACAAAGGGCAGCGAAGCCGCGAGGCUAAGCCAAUCCCACAAAUCUGUUCUCAGUUCGGAUCGCAGUCUGCAACUCGACUGCGUGAAGCUGGAAUCGCUAGUAAUCGCGGAUCAGCAUGCCGCGGUGAAUACGUUCCC
rnacentral:rRNA from 1 species